CCCUUAGAUGUUCUGGGCCGCACGCGCGCUACACUGAUCAGUGCAACAAGCAUCCGUCCUUGGCCGACAGGCCCGGGCAAUCUUUGAACGCUGAUCGUGAUGGGGAUAGACUUUUGCAAUUUUUGGUCUUCAACGAGGAAUUCCUAGUAAACGCAAGUCAUCAACUUGCAUUGAUUACGUCCCUACCCUUUGUACACACCGCCCGUCGCACCUACCGAUUGAAUGGUCCGGUGAAGCCUCCGGAUUGGCGUGCACCCUCGGGUGCUGCCGAGAAGUUGGCUAAACCUUACCAUUUAGAGGAAGGUGAAGUCGUAACA
rnacentral:rRNA from 1 species